GACAGAGGGUGCAAACGUUGUUCGGAAUUACUGGGCGUAAAGCGUGUGUAGGCGGCCAGGCAAGUCGGAUGUGAAAGCCCCGGGCUCAACCCGGGAAGUGCACUCGAUACUGCUUGGCUGGAGUGUGGGAGAGGUUGGUGGAAUUCUCGGUGUAGAGGUGAAAUUCGUAGAUAUUGGGAAGAACACCGGUGGCGAAGGCGGCGACCUGGUUCAUUACUGACGCUGAGGCGCGAAAGCGUGGGGAGCAAACAGG
rnacentral:rRNA from 1 species